UAUCAUGCCAGGCCCUGUAGUAUGAACUUCUAUUGAGAGCUUUUAGAUGAAACAAAAGGCAGAAUUAUUCUUGGAUAUACCCACUUGACC